rnacentral:snoRNA from 1 species
AACCCAUGGUGAGGGCACCUUCUCAAAAGGUCCUUGUAUCUCUCUCAUGCAUCAUAGAGUGUUUCUAAAUCUAUCUGUACA